CAAAGUUCUGAGUGACUGAGACCUGUCUUUGGUCCCAGAGUUAAAUCUUCUCCUUUGGAGACCACAAAUCCAAUGGCACUGUUCAGCAUAAGCUAUCAGCUUGGGGGCUUGUCUGUGAUCUUCAAGACAAGCUAUUUCCACAUACCUAAUCCACAAUGAGAGGACAAAAAUUCGUCAAUAUUAAAUAUACUCAAAAGAAAAAGUCGCAGGCAUGUCCACAGAUAACUUCACAAUUAUUCUCAACCACCCCAACUUGCACCAUUACCAGCUUGAAGUUGGCACUGAAACAAAGCUCAUUUCCUAUUGCAGGAGAUGGUUCAUGGUCAUCACUGACUCUAGAGAAGAAAUGGAGAAGAAAUCCCCAGGUAAUUCGGUUUAUUGGUUUGUACUCCCUCUGCCACCACAUGUGAAUCAAUUCAGAGAGACACUGCAAUACAUCCUAUUCUUAGAGGAAGGGCAGGGCCCAGCACCAGUGCUGAUUGAGUGGUUAUGACAUUUAGAAAGUAGAAAAACUCUUUUGAACUAAACAUCAUUUCUUUUGCAUUUGAGAGGAAAAUGAGGUGCACAGAGGUUAAGGAAUUUGUCUUAAGUCUCAGAACUGGUGACUGCUCAACUAAAUACUCUAAGUGGUUCCAAUUUGCAAGCA